UAGGGAAUCUUCCGCAAUGGGCGAAAGCCUGACGGAGCAACGCCGCGUGAGUGAUGAAGGUCUUCGGAUCGUAAAACUCUGUUAUUAGGGAAGAAUAAAUGUGUAAGUAACUAUGCACGUCUUGACGGUACCUAAUCAGAAAGCCACGGCUAACUACGUGCCAGCAGCCGCGGUAAUACGUAGGUGGCAAGCGUUAUCCGGAAUUAUUGGGCGUAAAGCGCGCGUAGGCGGUCAAUUAAGUCUGAUGUGAAAGCCCCCGGCUCAACCGGGGAGGGUCAUUGGAAACUGGUUGACUUGAGUGCAGAAGAGGAGAGUGGAAUUCCAUGUGUAGCGGUGAAAUGCGUAGAUAUAUGGAGGAACACCAGUGGCGAAGGCGACUCUCUGGUCUGUAACUGACGCUGAGGCUCGAAAGCGUGGGUAGCAAACAGG
rnacentral:rRNA from 1 species